rnacentral:rRNA from 1 species
GAGCAUGUGGUUCAAUUCGACGCAACGCGCAGAACCUUACCUGGUCUUGACAUCCUCGGAACCUGCCAGAGAUGGUGGGGUGCCCGCAAGGGAACUGAGAGACAGGUGCUGCAUGGCUGUCGUCAGCUCGUGUCGUGAGAUGUUGGGUUAAGUCCCGCAACGAGCGCAACCCUCGCCUUUAGUUGCCACGCAAGUGGAUCUCUAGAGGGACUGCCGGUGUUAAACCGGAGGAAGGUGGGGAUGACGUCAAGUCCUCAUGGCCUUUAUGACCAGGGCUACACACGUGCUACAAUGGCCGGUACAAAGCGCUGCCAACCCGCGAGGGGGAGCCAAUCGCAUAAAACCGGUCUCAGUUCAGAUUGGAGUCUGCAACUCGACUUCAUGAAGGCGGAAUCGCUAGUAAUCGUAGAUCAGCACGCUACGGUGAAUACGUUCCCGGGCCUUGUACACACCGCCCGUC